rnacentral:rRNA from 1 species
ACGAACGCUGGCGGCGUGCUUAACACAUGCAAGUCGAACGGAAAGGCCCUGCUUUUGUGGGGUGCUCGAGUGGCGAACGGGUGAGUAACACGUGAGUAACCUGCCCUUGACUUUGGGAUAACUUCAGGAAACUGGGGCUAAUACCGGAUAGGAGCUCCUGCUGCAUGGUGGGGGUUGGAAAGUUUCGGCGGUUGGGGACGGACUCGCGGCUUAUCAGCUUGUUGGUGGGGUAGUGGCUUACCAAGGCUUUGACGGGUAGCCGGCCUGAGAGGGUGACCGGCCACAUUGGGACUGAGAUACGGCCCAGACUCCUACGGGAGGCAGCAGUGGGGAAUAUUGCACAAUGGGCGGAAGCCUGAUGCAGCAACGCCGCGUGCGGGAUGACGGCCUUCGGGUUGUAAACCGCUUUCGCCUGUGACGAAGCGUGAGUGACGGUAAUGGGUAAAGAAGCACCGGCUAACUACGUG